CCAUAUACAGGGGCCCACACUGACUGACACUGAGAGACAGACACUGUGUGAGAGAGAGAGAGAGAGACUGACACUGAGAGUGCCAUAUACAGGGGCCCACACUGACUGACUGACACUGAGAGACAGACACUGUGUGAGAGAGAGAGACUGACACUAAGAGUGCCAUAUACAGAGGCCCACACUGACUGACACUGAGAGAGAGAGAGAGAGAGAGAGACUGACACUGAGAGUGCCAUAUACAGGGGCCCACACUGACUGACACUGAGAGAGAGAGAGAGACUGACACUGAGAGUGCCAUAUACAGGGGCCCACACUGACUGACACUGAGAGACAGACACUGUGUGA